rnacentral:lncRNA from 1 species
CUAUUCAAAUAUACUACUCCCCGUUUCCAUCGCCUCCUCACUCCCUUCCAUUCCAUUCCCUUUGCGCGCAGCCUCGUCGCCUCGCCUCGCCGAUCAGCCUCUCGUUCCGCCCGCCUUCCGCCCCCUCAAGAUGGUGAAGGUCGACACGUCGUCAUUUGUGAUCUUGCUGUAUUGUGCUUCCCCAAUGGUAGCUGUGGCUUGGCAGGCAGAACCUUUGCAAUGGUCUCUGCUACUUCUGUUGGGGAUCUGGCUCAUCGGCUGCUUCAAGCUCUUCGGUCUUCUCCAUAUAAUGUUUCCAGCAUAUCAUGGAGACAACCACUGCACGGGAGCAGCAACACCAAUAAGCCCAGGAUGUGUUGAACUGGUGAACCGUGCGGAGGUGGCCUGGUCCGGCUACAUCCUGAUGGCCGCACCAGUGUUGGCCGUAUGGGCUGGCUUCAUCAGUGGACCAGAAAUCUCCUUCCUGGCAUUCUUGCUCCUGCUUCUUGGGUGCCGGUUUGUUUACCUUGCUAUGCUCGCACCGUCCAAGUUCAAGAUGUCCUUGCAACAUUUUCAUGGCCCACAUCAAAAAAAAAAAAAGAAAGAAGCUAGCUAAACAUCUUGUAUAGUAGUAUGUCCCACCAAAAAAAAAAAAAAACAUGUGUCAAACUGUUUGUGAGUUGUCAGUUAUCCCCGCAAUGUCUGUACCUGUAGGCUCUGUAGCUGUACUGUGGUAUUAUACUAGUAGUUAUGUUGUGUAUGUCCCAUAUAACUAUUCAAAAAAGUCUGUGUGUGGUGUGCAGGGUCAGAGGGUCCAUCAUAGAACUUUAUUUUCUUGUGUAUUAUUAUUGUGUGGUGUAUGUCCGAUAUGCCUUGUAUUUGAAUACAAAACCUUACUGUGUGAAAUAUAAAUACCGUAUUGU